rnacentral:lncRNA from 1 species
ACUGAGGCCUAUUCGUGGAACAUGGCAUAUACAUGCCAUGGCAGACGUCAACAUAAAAAGAACUUUAAAAAUAUAAAAAGCUUAUAAAAAAAUUCAUAAAGCAUAACGACCAUAAACUUAGGAAAAUUAUUAAUAUUCCAUGAAGAUGGGUACGUUUUUUUUCUGAGAACUUGUGAGUACGUAUAUUGUGGUAGAGUAUUAAAAAAAAUGGCAAAGUCCCUACCCAGCCCAUAGCCCACGCACAAGCACAAAGGCCAAUUGGCUCUCUCUUUUUUUUUUUGGUAAACUGCAAUUGGCCCAGCCACCAUCACAAGCUGACUUCUUUCCUCUGCCGGCGAAAAUGCUGGUGCGGAUGUGGGCCCGUUGGCCCUUGAGUCGCGGCUGCCCUCUCGCUAGCUUCUCUCUUUAUUUUUUUUGAGGUAAAGACGGUCGAACCCGUCAUUCGAUUAGAGGAAAAGAGAAACUGUACAACAUCGGAUCAAAGGGAACCGACAAGAGAGAGGGGAGAGGAGCAAAGAAACAGAAAACCCCUU